ACGUGGGUAACCUGCCUGUAAGACUGGGAUAACUCCGGGAAACCGGGGCUAAUACCGGAUGGUUGUUUGAACCGCAUGGUUCAGACAUAAAAGGUGGCUUCGGCUACCACUUACAGAUGGACCCGCGGCGCAUUAGCUAGUUGGUGAGGUAACGGCUCACCAAGGCGACGAUGCGUAGCCGACCUGAGAGGGUGAUCGGCCACACUGGGACUGAGACACGGCCCAGACUCCUACGGGAGGCAGCAGUAGGGAAUCUUCCGCAAUGGACGAAAGUCUGACGGAGCAACGCCGCGUGAGUGAUGAAGGUUUUCGGAUCGUAAAGCUCUGUUGUUAGGGAAGAACAAGUGCCGUUCAAAUAGGGCGGCACCUUGACGGUACCUAACCAGAAAGCCACGGCUAACUACGUGCCAGCAGCCGCGGUAAUACGUAGGUGGCAAGCGUUGUCCGGAAUUAUUGGGCGUAAAGGGCUCGCAGGCGGUUUCUUAAGUCUGAUGUGAAAGCCCCCGGCUC
rnacentral:rRNA from 1 species